UGCAGUCGACGAUGAACCACUUCGGUGGGGAUUAGUGGCGAACGGGUGAGUAACACGUGGGCAAUCUGCCCUGCACUCUGGGACAAGCCCUGGAAACGGGGUCUAAUACCGGAUAUUGACCUUCACGGGCAUCUGUGAGGUUCGAAAGCUCCGGCGGUGCAGGAUGAGCCCGCGGCCUAUCAGCUUGUUGGUGAGGUAAUGGCUCACCAAGGCGACGACGGGUAGCCGGCCUGAGAGGGCGACCGGCCACACUGGGACUGAGACACGGCCCAGACUCCUACGGGAGGCAGCAGUGGGGAAUAUUGCACAAUGGGCGAAAGCCUGAUGCAGCGACGCCGCGUGAGGGAUGACGGCCUUCGGGUUGUAAACCUCUUUCAGCAGGGAAGAAGCGAAAGUGACGGUACCUGCAGAAGAAGCGCCGGCUAACUACGUGCCAGCAGCCGCGGUAAUACGUAGGGCGCAAGCGUUGUCCGGAAUUAUUGGGCGUAAAGAGCUCGUAGGCGGCUUGUCACGUCGGUUGUGAAAGCCCGGGGCUUAACCCCGGGUCUGCAGUCGAUACGGGCAGGCUAGAGUUCGGUAGGGGAGAUCGGAAUUCCUGGUGUAGCGGUGAAAUGCGCAGAUAUCAGGAGGAACACCGGUGGCGAAGGCGGAUCUCUGGGCCGAUACUGACGCUGAGGAGC
rnacentral:rRNA from 1 species